CAGAAGGAACUUCCUCUCUGCAGCUGCAGGAUGGAAGCUCCUCGGAUCGACAGCAGCGGCCAGCGCAGCAGCAGACAGUGCAUGGCCACGGAGAGCAUCAACGGAGAGCUGCGGGCGUGCACCAGCUGGACGGUGAAAGGCGAGACCAUGCGACCGUCCAGCCGCGUCUCCCUCAUGGUGCUCUGCGACGUCCAUCGCUCACACAUGGUCAAACACCACUGCUGUCCGGGCUGUGGGUACUUCUGCAUCGCAGGCACGUUUCUGGAGUGCUGUCCCGACCAGCGCAUCGCGCACCGCUUCCACCGCGGCUGCGUGACCGUGCUGAGCAGCGGGCGCAGCCGCGCCAACGGCGGCGGCAUGAUCUUCUGCCCCCACUGCGGGGAGGACGCCUCGGAGGCCCAGGAGAUCACCCUCCCGUCCUCCAGCGCCGCCGCCACCGUCGUCACCAUGUCCGCCUCCUCCACCACCACGCCGUCGCUGCCCCUGCCGCCCCCUCCGGCCCCUCCCUCAACGCCUCCACGGGAGGCACGAAGGACGGGAAGAUUGGAGGGAAUCGAUCCCACGUACCAGCCGGACUCCCAGAAUCGGCGCUCCGCUCUACACGCUGCAGCUCAAAGAGGUUUACUGGAGAUCUGCUACAUGCUGAUACAGGCCGGCGCCAACGUGGACGCCAAGGACAAAGAAAUGAGGACUCCUCUGCUGGAGGCCGUCAUCAACAACCACGUGGAGGUGGCCCGCUACCUGGUCCAGAGCGGAGCCUGCGUCUAUCACGUCGAGGACGACGGAUACACCGGCCUUCACCACGCCGCCAAGCUGGGGAACCUGGAAAUCGUUAACAUGCUUCUGGAGACGGGCCAGGUGGACGUGAACGCACAGGACAACGGGGGCUGGACGCCCAUCAUCUGGGCUGCCGAGCACAAACACGUGGAGGUGAUCAAGGCUCUGCUGAACCGAGGAGCAGACGUCUCCAUCACGGAUAAGGAGAUGAACGUUUGUCUCCACUGGGCGGCGUACGCGGGAAGUGUGGACAUCGCCGAGAUGGUGUUGAACUCCGGCUGCUCGCUCGCCUCCGUCAACGUCCACGGCGACACGCCGCUGCACAUCGCCGCCAGGGAGGGAUACCUGGACUGUGUGACGUUGUUCCUCAGCAGAGGUGCAGACAUCGACAUCAUGAACAAAGAGGGGGACACGCCGCUCAGCCUGGCCCGGGCCGACACCCCCGUGUGGGUGUCGCUCCAGAUCAACAGGAAACUACGGCGAGGAAUUACAAACCGUCUCCUCCGGACCGAGAGAAUCAUAAGCCGGGACAUCGCCCAAGGCUACGAGAACGUGCCCAUCCCCUGCGUGAACGGCGUGGACGAGGAGGGCUGCCCGUCCGACUACAAAUACGUUUCGGAGAACUGCGAAACAUCGGCCAUGAACAUCGACCGGAACAUCACGCACCUGCAGCACUGCGGCUGCACGGACGACUGCUCCUCCAGUAACUGCCUCUGUGGGCAGCUCAGCAUCCGGUGCUGGUACGACAAGGACCAGCGGCUGCUGCAGGAGUUCAACAAGAUCGAGCCUCCGCUCAUCUUUGAGUGCAACAUGGCGUGCUCCUGUUACCGCAGCUGCAAGAACAGAGUGGUUCAGGCCGGCAUCAAAGUCCGGCUGCAGCUCUACAGGACGGAGAAGAUGGGCUGGGGGGUCCGAGCUCUGCAGGACAUCCCCCAAGGGAGCUUCAUCUGCGAGUACGUCGGAGAGCUGAUUUCUGACGCCGAGGCCGACGUCCGAGAAGACGACUCCUACCUGUUCGACCUGGAUAACAAGGACGGGGAGGUGUACUGCAUAGACGCCCGUUACUACGGCAACAUCAGCCGCUUCAUCAACCACCUGUGCGACCCGAACCUCAUCCCGGUGCGGGUCUUCAUGCUGCACCAGGACCUGCGCUUCCCGCGCAUCGCCUUCUUCAGCUCGCGGGACAUCCUGAGCGGGCAGGAGCUGGGGUUCGACUACGGCGACCGCUUCUGGGACAUCAAGAGCAAGUACUUCACCUGCCAGUGCGGCUCGGAGAAAUGCAAACACUCGGCCGAGGCCAUCGCCCUGGAGCAGAGCAGGCUGGCCCGGCUGGAGGCCGGAUCGGAGUCGGGGGGCGACUGCGGGGCGAUGAUGGGGAGCUCGUGAGGCGCGAGGUUCAUGUUUGACUCUCUAAGCUGCCACUUUAUCCUCCCACCUGCAGUAAAGCUGGACUUUUAUCAAAUGUUUGGGUUUCAGCCUCUUUCACUCAUUUCAGUUGUUUUAUUUCGUGCCACCUCAUCGUCCCGGGACCACGUGAAGCCUUAACCCGGACAGACUUGUUAGGACUCGUGUGCUCGUCGAUUGUCUUGUAUUGUUAGCAUUUCAUCUUUAUUUUUAUAUUCCUGAGUAAUAAAAAUAUUGAAAGUUGUUUUGGUUUCA
rnacentral:lncRNA from 1 species